AGCCAAUAGAUACCCUGGUAGUCCACGCCCUAAACGAUGUCUACUAGUUGUUGGUGGAGUAAAAUCCAUGAGUAAACGCAGCUAACGCGUGAAGUAGACCGCCUGGGGAGUACGGUCGCAAGAUUAAAACUCAAAGGAAUUGACGGGGCCCGCACAAGCGGUGGAUUAUGUGGAUUAAUUCGAUGCAACGACGAAAACCUUACCUGGCCUUGACAUGCCACUAACGAAGCAGAGAUGCAUUAGGUGCCCGUAAGGGAAAGUGGACACAGGUGCUGCAUGGCUGUCGUCAGCUCGUGUCGUGAGAUGUUGGGUUAAGCCCCGCAACGAGCGCAACCCUUGCCAUUAAUUGCCAUCAUUUAGUUGGGCACCUUAAUGGGACUGCCGGUGACAAACCGGAGGAAGGUGGGGAUGACGUCAAGUCCUCAUGGCCCUUAUGGCCAGGGCUUCACACGUAAUAC
rnacentral:rRNA from 1 species